rnacentral:SRP_RNA from 1 species
GCUGGGUAUGGUGGCGCAUGCCUGUAGUCCCAGCUACUCAGGAAGCUGAGGCAGGAGAAUCGCUUGAAUCCAGGAGGUGGAGGUGCAGUGAGCCGAGAUUGUGUCACUGCACUCCAGCCUGGGUGACAGAGUGAGACUCCGUCUCAA